CUCAAAUUCUCAAAUGGAGGAAAUUUUUUUUAAAUAUUGAUUUUAUGUAAGAAUGGGAAUCUAUCCCUCAGAUAUAAACUAAACUUUAUUUUUAAAGUAGCCAGUCAAAAUUUGCAAUGAGUAAUGAAUUUGUUGGGUACUGAAUGAUAUAAUGAUAGUUAUGGUAAUGGCAUAGAUAAGUAAAUAAACUUGGUAUCAUUUUUGACAAGACAAUGAAGUCUGAAAACAUAGGAUAAGAAAAAAUAAGAAGCAAAUAAGACUAUAUUAAUUUUAUCCAAUACUAUCAAAUGUCAGCAUUAUACUAGAUACUAUUAUGUAAUAUCUGCAUUAGUUAAAGAAUACCACAUGCUUCAAGAAAUAACCCCCAAAUCUCAAGAGCUUACCCAAUCAAUGUUUCUUUCUCUCUUAUGCAGAGUCUUGGUCAGGAGGUUCUCCUCCACGUGGUAAUCCAUGGAUCCAGUCUCCAACCAACUCAUGGCUGUAUAUCUGUCUGGCUGGUAAACAAAAAGAAAGAACAUGCAGAAUGAAUAUGUGUUGCCAAGGUGAGCACCAAACAAAGUGUUUUAUUUGAGGGCGAUAAUUAUAGAGGAUAGGACUACUUCAUGACUUCACGGACCAAUGGACUAAUAUGGGUUCACCAACUAUGCAUUACCAGUUCAAGGAGACAGAGGUACAAAUUGAAGGU
rnacentral:lncRNA from 1 species